CCUACGGGAGGCAGCAGUGGGGAAUAUUGCGCAAUGGGCGAAAGCCUGACGCAGCGACGCCGCGUGAGGGAUGAAGGUCUUCGGAUCGUAAACCUCUGUCAGCAGGGAAGAACGGUCACUGUGCUAAUCAGCAGUGCAUUGACGGUACCUGCAAAGGCAGCACCGGCUAACUCCGUGCCAGCAGCCGCGGUCAUACGGAGGGUGCGAGCGUUAAUCGGAAUUACUGGGCGUAAAGCGCUCGUAGGCGGUAUGUCAAGUCAAGGGUGAAAUCCCCGGGCUCAACGUGGGAACUGCCUUUGAAACUGGCAAACUGGAGUGUGUGAGAGGAUAGUGGAAUUCCUGGUGUAGGAGUGAAAUCCGUAGAUAUCUGGAGGAACAUCAGUGGCGAAGGCGACUAACUGGAACAUAACUGACGCUGAGGAGCGAAAGCGUGGGUAGCAAACAGGAUUAGAUACCCGAGUAGUC
rnacentral:rRNA from 1 species